rnacentral:pre_miRNA from 1 species
GUUCCUUGGCAUUCUGUCCACCUCCCCUUUUCUUUUUUAUCAAAACCCACAACUGUAGUAGGAAAAAAGUGAGAGGAAAGAGUUUGGAGAAGGGUAUAACGAUA